rnacentral:rRNA from 1 species
CAUUACACAAAUAUGAAGGCGGGCUGGAACCUCUCGGGGUUACAGCCUUGCUGAAUUAUUCACCCUUGUCUUUUGCGUACUUCUUGUUUCCUUGGUGGGUUCGCCCACCACUAGGACAAACAUAAACCUUUUGUAAUUGCAAUCAGCGUCAGUAACAAAUUAAUAAUUACAACUUUCAACAACGGAUCUCUUGGUUCUGGCAUCGAUGAAGAACGCAGCGAAAUGCGAUAAGUAGUGUGAAUUGCAGAAUUCAGUGAAUCAUCGAAUCUUUGAACGCACAUUGCGCCCUUUGGUAUUCCAAAGGGCAUGCCUGUUCGAGCGUCAUUUGUACCCUCAAGCUUUGCUUGGUGUUGGGCGUCUUGUCUCUAGCUUUGCUGGAGACUCGCCUUAAAGUAAUUGGCAGCCGGCCUACUGGUUUCGGAGCGCAGCACAAGUCGCACUCUCUAUCAGCAAAGGUCUAGCAUCCAUUAAGCCUUUUUUUCAACUUUUGACCUCGGAUCAGGUAGGGAUACCCGCUGAACUUAAGCAUAUCAAUA